rfam:Danio rerio chromosome 3, GRCz11 reference primary assembly.
GGCUCGUUGGUCUAGGGGUAUGAUUCUUGCUUAGGAUGCAAGAGGUCCCGGGUUCAAAUCCCGGACGAGUGG